rnacentral:sRNA from 1 species
GUAUUUGAGAUUUAUCACCUUUCCUUGACUAAAAUGUCUUUUUAAAAAUUCUAAAGCAUAUUUAAUUUAAAUUUUCAAACCUAACACUUCAUUUUUGGCUACUUAUUAGGGAAAGUUAUACAAAAAUUUCAAAAAUACAUCCCCCACCACCAUAGAAUGGACAACUUUUUCGCACUGACUUUUGUUGUGGGCUGUCUGGUUGGAUUUUUAUUCGGCAAACACCAUAAGUAAAACGAUAAGCUCCAAGAGAUAACAUUCUCUUGCUGGAGCCUAUAAGUAUUGUACUUCUUAUACACGAAAAUGGAUGUGGACUUUCUGAUAACCUUCUUAGUUGGCUUGUUGGUGGGAUACAUAAUAGCCAAACACGCAUAAUCCAACUUGGAAUGGACCAAAGAGCCCCUUGAAAAUAUUGUUCAAAAUUCACUUGCUUGGUUAAGGUCAACAUCUGGAUAUUGCUCCCAUUCUCCAGGGCAUAUCAUAUUCUGGACAUUUUCCGCCAUAAUAUAAAUCUUCAGGUUCAGAAUCCAGAAAGCAAAAUGACUCACGUAAUCUCCUUUGCCUUGGGGAUAAUCAUUGGAAUGAUGUCUUGCCGAAAAUGUUAAACUGAGCUGGCAACUGGUAACAGAAAUUCAAAUUAGAUAUUCCAAAGUAGGCUUGUACUUCGCAAUCAUUCACAAAUAUAUCUUUCCCAAGUCACAUCUAUACAAUUUUCUUGGAGCUACAAGUUUUACUCUCAACUUAUACGAAAUGGAUUUGGACUGGGUCAUAACGUUUGUAGUUGGAAUUUUGGUUGGAUACUUAUUAGCCAAGAAUACCUAAACAAUCCCGAAAUAGAUGGAUCGAAGUGCACUUGGAAAAUAUUUUUAAAAUUUAUUUUGCUUGGCGAGGGUCAACAUCUGUUUAUCUCACACUCUCCUAAGCCUAUCAAGUCCAGACUCCAACAACGCAAGUCAGUCAGGAUCAACAGGAUCAAGCAGCAGGAAGAAAAAUGACUCCCGUAAUCUCCUUCGCCUUGGGUGUAAUAGUUGGAAUGCUGAGUUGCCGAAAAUGUUGACCUGAGCCGUUUAUUGACCGAGCUUAAUUGGAAAAAUUUCUAAAGUUGACAUGAAUAAAUAAACACUGAAAAGUGCUUAAAAUA